GAUCCAGCCAUGCCGCGUGCAGGAAGACGGCCCUAUGGGUUGUAAACUGCUUUUGUAUGGGAGCAAUAAGGUCUAUGCGUAGACUGAUGAGAGUACCAUACGAAUAAGCAUCGGCUAACUCCGUGCCAGCAGCCGCGGUAAUACGGGGGAUGCAAGCGUUAUCCGGGAUUUAUUGGGUUUAAAGGGUGCGUAGGCGGUUUGAUAAGUCAGCGGUGAAAUAUUUCCGCUUAACUGAAAGGGUGCCGUUGAUACUGUCAGGCUUGAAUAUGGUUGCUGUGGGUGGAAUGUGUGGUGUAGCGGUGAAAUGCUUAGAUAUCACACAGAAUAUCGAUUGCGAAGGCAGCUCACAAAGCCAUUAUUGACGCUGAUGCACGAAAGUGUGGGGGAUCAAACAGGAUUAGAUACCCUGGUAGUCCACACUGUAAACGAUGAUAACUCGCUGUCCGGCGAUACACAGUCGGUAGCCAAGCGAAAGCGAUAAGUUAUCCACCUGGGGAGUACGACCGCAAGGUUGAAACUCAAAGGAAUUGACCGGGGGCCCGCACAAGCGGAAGGAACAUGUGGUUUAAUUUCGAUGAUACGCGAGGAACCUUACCCGGGCUCGAACGGUGCAGGAAUACGUCAGAGAUGAUGUAGCUAGCAAUAGUCUGUAUCGAGUGCUGCAUGGUGUCGUCAGCUCCGUGCCGUGAGGGGUGUCGGCUUAGUGCCAUAACGAGCGCCACCCUUGUCGUUAUUUGCCAUCAGGUCAAGCUGAGGACUCUGGGCAGAGACUGCCCCCCGUAAGGUGUGAGGGAAGGGGGAUGACGUCAAAUCAGCACGCUUUUACGUCGGGGCGACACCCGUGUUACAAUGGUAGGUACCAGAGGGCACCUACCCCGCAAUGGGGUGCGAAUUCCCAAAGGCCUAUCUCAGUUCGGAUCGAAAGUCUGCCAACUCCGACUCCGGGAAGUUGGAUUCCCUAGUAAUCCGCCAUCCAGCCAGGCGCCGGUGAAUACGUUCCCGGGGCCUGGUACACCCCGACAUCGGAAUCCGCGGGUACCGAGCUCGAUCACUGCGUCGUUACACGUCGUGACUGGAACCCKCYGGCGA
rnacentral:rRNA from 1 species